CAAUCAAUAAGUUGUAAGGCGUAUAAGACUCUAGGGUUCGUAAGACGAAUAUCGUCUGACUUCAAGCUUACCUCUUCACUGAAGACUUUACUGUUUCUUAAUGCGACCCCUGCUUGAGUAUGAUUAAAUUUCGUAGGAUCCCAUUACAGACUCCGACUCUGCAAUUAUCGAGUGAGUUCAAAGACGUUUUCUGUCCUAUGCUGGCCAUGGAAUAUCUCCCACCUGUUACAUAAAUACUCUUCUGUUCUCCACGUGCUUGGUUUACCAACGCUAGCCAAUAGAAAAGUUAACAUUACCCUCGUAACCUCAUUGGUGGUUCUGUGGACGCACCUUCUCUCCUUUUCCUCAUCAACU